GAGCAUKGGGGAAUUUCGAACAUUGGGCGCAUGCUGAUCAGGCAUGUCGCUGAUCAGAUGCCUCGAUGUAAGCUAUCAGCGUACGGAUUCGUACUUCUAUACGAGUGUGAUGACGUACGAGAAGAAGCACCGGCUACUACGUGCCAGCAGCGCGGUAUACGUAGGGUGCGAGCGUAUCGGAAUUACUGGGSGUAAAGCGUGCGCAGUCGAUUUGUAAGACAGGCGUGAAAUCCCCGGGCUCAACCUGGGAACUGCGCUUGUGACUGCAAGGCUAGAGUAUGGCAGAGGGGGGUGGAAUUCCACGUGUAGCAGUGAAAUGCGUAGAGAUGUGGAGGAACACCAAUGGCGAAGGCAGCCCCGUGGGCCAAUACUGACGCUCAUGCACGAAAGCGUGGGUAGCAAACAGGAUUAGAUACCCUGGUAGUCCACGCCCCUAAACGAUGUCAACUAGGUGUUGGGUGGGUAAAACCAUUUAGUACCGGAGCUAACGCGUGAAGUUGACCGCCUGGGGAGUACGGCCGCAAGGUUAAAACUCAAAGGAAUUGACGGGGACCCGCACAAGCGGUGGAUGAUGUGGAUUAAUUCGAUGCAACGCGAAAAACCUUACCUACCCUUGACAUGUCCAGGAGCCUGAAGAGAUUUGGGUGUGCCCGAAAGGGAACUGGAACACAGGUGCUGCAUGGCUGUCGUCAGCUCGUGUCGUGAGAUGUUGGGUUAAGUCCCGCAACGAGCGCAACCCUUGUCGUUAWUUGCCAUCAUUUAGUUGGGCACUUUAACGAGACUGCCSGUGACAAACCGGAGGAAGGUGGGGAYGACGUCAAGUCCUCAUGGCCCUUAUGGGUAGGGCUUCACACGUCAUACAAUGGUCGGUACAAAGGGUUGCCAACCCGCGAGGGGGAGCCAAUCCCAGAAAGCCGAUCGUAGUCCGGAUUGCAGGCUGCAACUCGCCUGCAUGAAGUCGGAAUCGCUAGUAAUCGUGGAUCAGCAUGUCACGGUGAAUACGUUCCCGGGUCUUGUACACACCGCCCGUCACACCAUGGGAGCGGGUUCCGCCAGAAGUAGGUAGCCUAACCGCAAGGGGGGCGCUUWMCRCGGCGGGGUUCGUGACUGGGGUGAAGUCGUAACAAGGUAACCGU
rnacentral:rRNA from 1 species